rnacentral:lncRNA from 1 species
AGUGUUAUCGUCUUUGUAAUAAUUACCUUACUCAGGAUCAAGAGUCUCUGGCUGUGCUAUAGUUGGCUCCAACCCGACCCUACUCUCUAACCCCAUAGGCCAAAUCUCUAAAGAUGCUUAAGAGGUAAUAUCACAAUGGAAGUCAAUGAUGAUUUUGUGGGUGGAUUUGGGAUGCAGCCCACGCAGCCGUCGGACAAUAGGCGCCGGAUGCACGAGGUCCAGCUGCAGCUAUGAUGCAGCCAACGAAUGACAAGUGAGUGGCAUCAUCAGCCAUUGCAUUGGUUCAUUAGAUGAGCGGUACAUUUUAAACGUGUCCAGCAACGUUUGCAGUGCUGCUGGUGAUAAGGCCACCAAAGCGUUUGAGGAAUUCCUGGCCGUCAUUGGAAUGGAAUAUGACGACUUUGCCGAGUUCUAUGGCAACUUGGCAACAAAGGACUUCACCAUCGCGACCACGCUCCUCAUGCCAUGGCUGCACACCUGGGCAGCACCAAACCCAAGCAACAACCCAAAGUAUGAUGUUGUCUCAUGCGAAGUAGUAAAAUUUGGCUUGCAUGUUCGACAAUGCAACUGCUUGCUUGCAUGAUCUGCAGGACUCAAAUGAGGGGGUUGCAACCCCAUAUGGUAAACUUGCUUCAGCAGGCAUGUGUACAGAAGCGAGAAACGGGAGCUGCAGACGGCAUCAUCCACCAAAGCUCUGCCUACGAUGAAGAAAGGUGACAUAAGCAUGAUGCCGCUCUGCCUGAGAUAUGGGUGCCGGUUUGGAAGCCGUUGAGGAUGGAGGCGUAUGUUGGCUACUGGCUCAUAUCACGAGGCAUGACACGUGAAUAGUGACCACUGGUGAGUUGUUCUCUGGGGGAAAUCAUGAUGUAACAGGUUGAUUAAGGCAACUACCCAGGUUCAAACAGGAUGAAGCCGUUGAGGAAGUAUGUUACUUACUACUAGUAACUUGUAGCUCAUAUACGGAGCUUAAACUUGAGAAUGGUGAAGUGUUCUCUGGGUAAGUCAUGAUAGAACGGGUUGGAUUAGGCAAAUGACCCAGUUCCGACCUGAGUUCGAAUCCCGGGCAUGCUUUUUCUGCUUGGGAGGUGAUAGCUGUGACUACAGGUAUCUACACAGUUGCGUCCAUCACUCUGAGAUUGACAGAUGGUUGGGGACCCCCUGAUUUUGAGGGGGAAUAAUUGUCAUUCAUGUGCAAGCAAACAAGGGCAACUGCAGUUUUUGGAUUUUGUGUCAAAUUACCUCUUGCUGCAUAUAUUCUGUAUGGAGUCUCCUAUACAGGGUUUGGCGUAUUUAACUUCUGAUGGGCAUGUUUGUCUGUCUACAGGGCCCACCCAGCAACCUGCAGCUGCUGUGGACAACACCACAUGCUUUUCCCACCACACAUCACCACGCAGAGUCAGUGGAAGGUUAAAGCAGUAGUAAGGUGUGUGGCAUAAAACUGCAUUCUAAGUUCCACAUCACAGUCAUUGCAGUUCUUGAUGGUCUGACAAAGGUGCUACUGUAUGCCCCUGCCUGAUCUUUGCUGCAUACAGGCUCACAAGCUGCUUGUGGAGGACUGCUGCUGCAGCAAUGUCUUGUAGUGUUAACUAACGGCGAUAGAGGACUAAUACUAGGCAUGACUACCAGAAGGUGUUAGGGUGGAUAGUGCAUGUGACCUAUGAUGUAGCAUGUUUUGAGGCA